CCUUUGAAUAAAAAAAAAACUUUUCUUGCUGCUAUUGUGUGUGUGUCUGUGUGUGUGUGUGAGUGUGCUUUCAAGUCAUUAUCUGAGAUGAUCAGCUCCAGUGCAGGUAUGCUCUUCAGUGAAGCAGAAGAUUGCAGUGAGCAAGAAGGAUCCUGAAAUCAAGGAGACCCCAGGAUGAGAAGCGAACCACCACGAACAACUAGCUCUCCUGAAGGUGACUGUGGAGAUGUGGGUAGGCCAUUAGCAGUGAUUUAACAUCUCCACAUCUACAAAGAUGGGCAUCACAUUCAUCAAUCUCCAGUCAACUGGAAUUCCCCUGGUUAGUCAAGACUGCUGAUAAAUUAUUGAAAGAGGCCUGGUGAGCGCUUCUGACAGCUUCUUCAGUACCUCUGGAUAAAUUCCAUCAGGUCCUAUAGACUUGUGACCAUUCAAAACAGGAAGGAGUUCACUCACAAUUUCCCACUGUGUUUUAAGGACUUCAUGUUGCUUCCUGUCACCACCUUACAAAUUAAGGGUCUAGGUAACCUGAAAACAAUUGCUCUUUCUAAUAAAGACUGAGGAAAAUUUUUCUGAGGAAAAACUUUCUUUUCCUCAGUCUUAUCCUCAUUGUUCAUAGCUGUGUUUCCCCUCACAUCCAAUAACGGAUGGAGAGUCUCCUUAUUUAUCGUUUUGUUAUUGAUGUAUUUAUGAAAGCAUUUGUUAUCAUCUUUUACUACACUAGCCAAAUUGAAUUCCACUUUGGCUUUGGAUCUUCUAAUUUUCUCCAUAUACAAUCUGACAACAGCUCUGUAGUUGCCUGCCCCUUCUUCCGAAGCUCCUAACUCCCUUUCAUUUCCUGAAUUCCUGACUAUGGACAUGGCAAAGCAUCUCUGUAACAGAAAACUUCUGAAUCUAUUUAAAAGAAAAAGGAAAAAUAGGAUUGAAUCAGAAUAUCACUAAGCUAGAAAUCAUAUGCACAAGUCACCAUGACACCUAAAUGGGAUCUAAAAUCCUAGCUAGAUAUAGCAGUAGUAACAUUAUCUCUUCUGUUACUGGCUUUCAUAUACAACUCUGAGAAGAGCUUUUCAACCAUAAAUAAUAGUUUCAAUUCAUCAGUUUGGAAUAAUACAAGUUAGAUUGUACCAUAUUGCCAUUAGAUAUACGAGAAGACUGAACUGAAGCCUGACAAUAAACUUCCUGGAUUUUUUUUUCUUAUCAAUAAUAUAAUAGAUUUCUAGUGUUACUGGGCUUGUCACAGAGAUGAAAAGAUUUCCAUCCUUCAAAAAGGAUGUCAUUUGUAGUGUCAAAUGAUGACACAAUGUUGUACUUUUCAAAUUUAUUUUUCCUGUGCACACUCUGUCAGUAGAAUGGAGAACAGCGUAAAAAUUUUCUCAUCAGCAGCCUUACAGUAUGUGAAAAUCAGGUAAAGGCACCAGAAGAAGGUCAAAUGUUAAACUGCAGUGUAAAAUGCAAUUUAGCAUUUGUUAUAGGCUUAGCAAACACCCCACUAAUGAACCAGACCUUUAUUAGAGUUCAUAUCACUGGUGAUUAAGCUUUCUCUGACAACUCAUUUCACCUCCUGCACUUUUGCAUUACACUUCACAAUAGGAAAAGAAUAAAAUAUUAAUGCCAACAAAGAUCAGACACUUUGUGUUCUUUAUUGCAACUUAAUGUCUGUAAUGUCUUCUAAUUUGAGUAACAUGAACUUUCUUUCAGUUCCCACAGGCUAAUUCAAAUAAAAAUAUAAAAUAUUCUGGCAACCAAAACUUAAACUGGUAAAUUAAUAGCAUAUCACUAAUAAGAUGAUUUCCUUAAUAAAGGAGAGGAAGACAACGAGAAAAUGCAGUACCUCAUCUAGUUCCAUUUCAUCAGGACUUUCCCAUGGUUUGAUAAAUUUUCCACGAGAUCUCUUCAAAGGCACAAUAACUAUGUAAUAACCUCUGUAAAAGAAAGAGUGGGACAAAAGUGAGGCUGAAGGAAAAGGAAAAUAAAUUGAUGGAGUGUGUCUGUUUGGAGGGGUUCAUAAGAUCUGUCUGUCAUACACUGAGAAAGAUUCCAGCCUUCCAAACAUAUUUGUAAAGAUUCACAUCCUGAAAACAAAUUCUGGAAUAAAAUAUUUAACAAAAAACGGUACUAAUUACCUGCCUUUUCGUUUGAAAAUAUAAAUAUGUAUAGGAAAAAUUAAUCACAAUGUUCUAGAAUGCCUGCAUAUUUGACUGCAGGUUAUUAUUUUGUUUGAAAUACAAGAUCCAUGGGACACUUGUGCCCUACUACCAUUAAUGUGGAAAGAAACAAAAUCACAAAAAUAAAAUAAUUCAAACCCCUAAAAUGAAACAUUACCCCAUUUUUUUCCCACUUUCAUAUAAAAGUAGAAUCGUAUGGUAAUAUUAUGUUACCAUAACAGAAAAUAAAACAUCAUAUCAUAAAUUCACACAUUCCACAUACAUACUCUUUACUUUUUAGUAUAAAUUACCAUCAGCUUUUUCUAUUUAAAUAUUAUUUUCACAGUCAUAGAUGUAUGUUCUCUUUACAGCUAGGAUUUGCAUAUCUUCAGUUUUCCACUCAAAAGUUUUUCUGAAAAUAUUUUGCCUCCUCUGCUCUCCUUCCUCCACUCUUGCCCAUUCCUCCACCAAACAUUUGCUAUUAAUGUGACUAAAUAAAUAGUAGAAUCACCACAGCAUGAAAUCCAGAAUGGUAUAAUAUGCUAUUCAAGAAGUCAAGCACUCUUCACCUCAGAGAAGGAAAGAAGCUGUUUCCAGUAACAUGGCCACUAAAGUGUCUCUUGGUCUCUAUUAUGGAAAAUAAUUUCAUUGUUUUCUUUUCCUGCCUCCUCCCCUCCUUCAUUUACUUAUUUAUUAGUAGUUAAUGGAGGAGUCUAAAGAAACAGACCUGCCUUAGAAUUAAUUGAAAACUAGCUCAGUCUAAACCAACUCUAUAAACUGUCUUUGUCUCAUAUCAGUGCACAGCACUGGUUCAUUUUAAUGGUCUAUUCUUAACUAAAGCAAUUUCCUCUAAAAUAAAUCUAACAACAAUCUGUAUUUUUAGCUACAGUUCUAAAUGCUUAAGUUCCUAACACUCAAUAGUGUUAAGAAAUUUCAGAAAUUUAUUUGUGGAACUGCAAAGCUCUAGCAGAAGGUACUAUAAACAAGUGUAGAGCACAGAUCUGUAACAUUUCUCUUGCUGAAGAAAAUCUGCAUCAUAUAUUCUUUACAGUAGCAAAGAAAAAUAGUCUUUAACAAUUAUGUUCUUAUUAAUUAGUAAGGCUGCUUGAGCUCAGAUUGUAAAGCUCAGUAUGCAUAUUAAACGAAUCUUCAGAUUUUUAUUUUUUUCCAUAAAUGUUACACAUUUUUAAAUAGUUUUAUGAAACAAGAAUACUAAAAUAUCUGUAGUAAGAUGCAUUCUCAGCUUCAUAAUAUCCAUCUGUACAUCCAGACACAUAUUUUUCCCAAACAUAUAUUAGGAUUAGAUGUAAAAUUACAUUUCUGAAUUUAUCUGAUUGAGAGAUAUGACAGGACCCUAAGUCAGUCAGAGCUGCAGGAAUCUGCCAAGAUUUCUCCUAUGGUGACAAGAUGAAUGAAAAUGUUAUAAAUAAAUAUAAAAUCUUCUUAAAAGAAGUUUAAUUGGGCUCUAAAAUGCAAUAGUAAAAUUUCUUUAACACAAAAAAAUGGAAACAGCAUAAAUAGACCUUCUCUGUUGACACUUCCUCUCCCCAUCACCUUAGAGGUUAUGGCUUUUGGCUUGACAUCUGAUUUUCAGAAAAUCUUUCCAGGAUCUCUGCCUCCCAGAAAGCCUUCGGUCACCUCCACAGAUAGCUUGCCUACUCCAAAGUUAGGAUACCAAAGGAUUCGAUUUCUUCUGCUUCUAUUCAACUGUUUCUAUCCAAUUAUUUCCUUUCCCCAAAAUUGUCUUUUAUCAAAUGGAAGAGAAAUAAACUAUAAAAAGAAUUUCUCAGAAACGGUAAGAAGAUAAACCAAACAGCAGUUUAGGGGUAGAGUUAUUGGACUUAGUGGUUGAAGUAAUGUUCUUCUAAACAUAAUCAGACCUGAAGAAAGAUUAGUUGAUGGCAUUCAUGAUGGAGUACUUUGAACUGAAACUUCUUGUACCAGUUAAUAAAUGGGUGCUGUUCUUUAGUCAGUGUCAGUAGGUCAAACCUGCAGUAUGCAGCUGUUUUAUAGUAACUUCGGAGGGUAGGAGAGAAAACUGUGAAAUGCUCAGGAAUGUGGAAGUAGUAAGCCUGUCCUUGCUGAGUAUUUUCUGAAAAAAAAAAGAAGUGUCUUUUCGCAGUCACUAAUCUAUGGAUUUUCUGCAUGUACAUGUUGCUAACCCAAGGCUGUAGCUCUAGAAACGAGAGCAGAAGAUUGAAGAUAAAACUACUAUUUCAUAAUUUAGAAAUUUAGGCAAAUAAGUAACCUAGGUUUCUCUUAAUUCAUGCCAAAAUUAGAGGAAUGAAGUAGUCCAGUCGGUCAUCUCUAAUGCGAAUCCAGUAAAAGAAAAAAUAUCUCGGGGGAAUUAUACAAUUCCCUUGAUAUAAUCAUAUAUUUCCCUUGAAGUGUUUCCAAAGUAGAAUCUAUUCAUAUUAACAUCUUGAACUAUCUUCAUUUCCUAUCAGUAUUUAAACAAAACUAGAUGGUAGCUGAACUGCUACAAUUGGCUGUGGAUCCUUAUAACGCUUUAUUCAAACUAGUUACUUCAUUAAAAAAAAUCAAUUUCCAAUAUCAAUUCAUAGAAGUAAUCAGUCAUAUGAAUCUUCCUCUACUAUGCUAACUUUUUCUCUACCAAGAAACAUGAAAUGGCUUCAAACAUCAAAUGGAGGAUUUUACUCUUUAGUGGUCUCACUGCAUAAUUUUAACUUGAACAUCAAAAUUCCCUGUCUUCAUUUUGUUUAGUUUCAAAGAGAUUUAGGGUAUAAUAAUGUUUGCUAAGAAGGCAAAAACACUCUUUUAACUUGCUUGAGCCUACAUUUACGACAAUUUUCUUCUUUGCUAAGGCAUAUGACAUGAGCAACAAAUCCUUGCAAAAGAAGAUUUACUCGUAUAUAGUAUCUACAAUGAAUGUACCUUUCCUUUUUCAGAUUCAUAAGAAUUCAUAUAAGGCAGCAAUUGAGAAUUGGUCCUUAUACAUCUUUCAGAUGUUGAAGAUGUGCUGGAUGAACUUGACAGUUUCUUGAUUACCUUUUCUUUUUUUUUCCCUGCCUCUUUCUUUUUCUUUUUUUAAGCUAAUAGAGUGACAGAGUGUUCAUACAUUUUUUAUCAAUCAAUGAAGAUCCAGCAUGUAAAUGUUACUUUCACACUCUUUCACAAUUUCUCAUGCAUGCCUCCCACUCAUGACUUUGAUCAUCCACUAAGACUUUCAGUAUAUACAGAAUAUUUUAAAGCUGAAAGCACGAGUAUUUCAACAGUAAGCUGAAAAAUGAAACAAUUCACAUACAUACAUAUUGCUGCAAAUUGUUAAGGACAGUGAAGUUCUGCUAUUUCUAGGUAACUACAGAAAACAUAGCAUCUCUUAGAAAAGAUAUUAUUUGCUUUAUUAUGUUUUGAGUGUGCUAUUGUAUGUAGUUUUGUUUGCUUGUUUGUUUGUUUUAGUAGGUUGAAGAAAAUGAGAGAAACAUACGACUUGCUAGAACUAGUCAGUAUUUCAAAGGCCAACAUCUUCCAUAAAAUCCAAGACUUCGCAAACAUGGAAGAUUCAGAGAAAGAUGCUUUGAAUAAAAAGUUGCUUUGAAUUAGCCAAAAUACUUCUGAAAAAUGAAAACAUUUUUUUCAUUUGAUAUGUUUCUAGCUUGAGAACCAUUUGACCAAGUAUGUUGUGAGUUCUGCUUAAGUUUCUACUCUAUAUCAUCAUCAAAGACUAAGAUAAUGAAAAUUAUUUCUAUCCUCUUUAAUAAGUUUUAAAGCCUCUUACAUUAUUCUCAAUCUCAUUAGUAUUUACCUAUAAUCCAUUAGGGUAAAUAAUUAACUGUUUCAUCUUCAAUGUAAUUAGUAUCAUUGAAAGAUUCUCAGUGUAGGAUAGAUAUAACCACCAGCAUAUAAUGUACCCAAAGAGGAAAAGGAACAGCAAUUGUGCAGCAGUUACAGUGAGUUUUUUUUUUUUUUUAAAAAAACAAAGUUGUUCUUCCCCUACAAUAUCACUAUCAUUUUAUCUAUUCUAGCAAACAUCAGAUGUCUAUAUAUGAUUCAAUUUUCCUUUCAGUAUUUGUGUUGGUAUGCUAUUCCCAGAGAUAGAUGAAUUUUUUUAGUUUGUUUUUCUAUAUCAAACUAAAUUACAUCUCAUUAGAAAACAUAUAUGCAUAUAGAAAGAGGAGUUACAUUUUUGCACAAUUGUUAGUUGGACUCCAUUGGUUUAAUACUUCUUUAUAGUUGUCACUUAUUCUUUUUUUAAAAAAACACUACAUGUAAGAAAGAGCGUUGACUCUUUCCACUGCUAUCUCCUUCUAUUGUCUGGGCAACAACCCUGCAUGUUUUUCCUCUGUGAAUGCCCUGCCUCAUAAAUCUUUUUUUGACUCAGUCUUCCUUAGGUGCAUUUGUUACUGACCAAACCUUACUCAGUCUAAUACUAAUGGCUACACUUCAGGUUUGAUCCUUUUACUGUCUCAAAGUCUUUUAUUUCAGGACCUGCCUCAAAAUCCUCAGCCAGUAAUGAAAAGGGAGAGCAACUUUCUGAAUAGGUGCCAGUUAGAAUGCACUAGACAGAAGGCAAGUGGAAUGCCCAAAAAUUUUUAAUGAUUUGCUCAUUUUCUUCCCCAUUUCCUUUACAUUAUAGACGGGAACUUUAUACACCAACAAGAGCAGCAACACUCAUCGAUUGUAUGGUGUUUCAUGUUUUCUUGCAAAAUCUUUAUUGUCUAUCCUUUCUAAUCCCUGUUGACACAGUUCUAUCAGCUCUUAAGUCCUAUUUCCACUAAAUCUCCCAGUACCUUUUCUCCCCGAAUGGAACUAACCUCUACCAAACUCUGUCAAAUCUUUCAGUCAAGUCUGCUGUUUUUGUUUUUGUUUGUUUGUUUGUUGCUUGUUGUUUGUUUUUUGAACUUGGACUAGAGGAGAGGAUCUGAAAUUUUUAUCUUGAAAACUUUAUAAUUAAUUCACUUGAAAUAACAUAAAUGCAGUAACAGCCCUUCAAAAUUCCACAUAAUUCUGGAAUGAGAUCUAGUACUUCACGUUGCUGCAGGUGAACAACUCUAGAUUGAUAGAUCGUCCAUUCUCCAUAUGAGGAUACAUUUUUCAAACACAACUGGCUUCUUACCCAUCUGGAAUUAAUGAAGAAAAGAAAAAUUUCUCUAAGAAACAGCUAGAAACAGAAUAUAUUUUUUAUAUUUUUUGCCAUAUAUAUAUAUCCAACCAGAAUUAUCCUACAUACUCAGCUGAGUGAUGAAGUGAUAUUCAUUGUUAGUGCAAAUACUUCUGCAGAGCACUGAACUCUGUACCCUUAGGAGGAAUAAAGCUCCGGUGCAGUACAUGUCCAGUUUUUAUUAGAAUAGUAAGAAUUAUCAAUGUCAUGAAGUCACUCACUUUAUAUUCUCAUUUGACGGUACUUCUGGAAGUUCCACAGUUAUCAUGCCAUCUAAGUUCGUUUUUCCAAUGAAGACUGGCUUGGUGCGAAGCACAUCUGGUGCAGUCUUUGCUGUCACUCUGUGCUGAAGACCUCCAGCACUGUUCCCUCUGUUUGUCAGCACAAAUGAAUAUGAUGUCUCUGGCUUCAAGUUAGUGAUCAGUUUUUGAGUAGCACGUCCAUCAACCUCCAUCACCAUUUUGCCAUCGUCAUAAAGGAUCUAAGUUCUCUGGCACUCAGCAAAUCAGAUUCUUACUGACAGAACUUCUGACUACCAUUCCGAAAUGAAUUAGGAACAUAUACAGAAGAAUGGCAUGGCAUGGCUUGAGAAAAAUUAUCUUUCCUUAUUAUAUCUGCUGAUGAGUCUUGACAUUGCUUCUACAUGAAUUUGAAUUAUUGCUAGUUUUUAUAAAAAUUUUCCAAAUAUCUUUUUUUUUUUUUUUUUUUUUUAAAUGCCUAACCCACUUGCAGAUUGACUCCUAGAAACUUUUCUCUUCUGUUACAUAAAACUUUGUCUGGUUCUGCAUUCUUUUAUUAUGAGCCUUUAUGGAACAAAAAAAAAAGGCUAUGAAGGACUUUAACAGGCUAUAUUUGUCUUUGCAUUGGAACUAUUACUGAAACUACUGCAGCAUACAAAAGAGAAGAAGAGUCCAUACAAAUAGAUAACUCCUUCAGCUUUCUAGGAGAAAUACUGUUGAAAGUGGUUGUGAUUUAUUAACAUGAUACACUGGUGGAUAUUACAGUUAAUGCUACUUUUAACUUUGAUGGUAUAUACAGAAAAGGAAAUAAAUUAAUACUUGUUAUUGAUCAGAAGAACAUUAAAGCUGUGAUUAAAGUAGUAAAUAACAAUGUACAUAUUAUUUAAAAUUUUAGUAUGGAGCCUAUAUGAUUCUGAGAAGUAUAUGAUUUUUAGCAUAGAACUGAUAGCCAGAACUUUGAGAAUAACAUUAACUUGUUGAAAGCCCAGAGGAGGGCCAUGAAGAUGUUCAGAUGGCUGGAGCAGGCUGAGAGUUGGGACUGUUCAGCCUGGUGAAGAGAAGGCUGUUCUUGUAGCAGUUCUCUAGUAGUUAAAAGGGAGCCUACAAGAAAGCAGGAGAGGGACUUUUUGCAUGGCCAUGUAGUAACAGGACAAUGUGUAGAGGGUAGAUUUAAAUUAGAUAUAAGAAAGAUGUUCUUCACCCUGGUGGUGGGAGGCACUGGAACAGUUUGCCCAGACAAUUCGUAGAUUCCUUAGUACUGUAAAUGUUCAAGACCAGGUUGAAUGGGAGUCUGAACAAACAGACAUGGAGGAAGGUGUCCCUGUCCAGGGCAGUAGGCUGGAAAUAGAUGAUCUUUAAGGUUCCUUGCAACUCAAAUUAUUCUAUGAUCAAUAAAAAAAAAAUGUUUUGAUCUCUUUAUUUCUUGAUAACAUUCAGUUAGUAUCAUCUUUAAGUACUAUCACUUGUGAAUAUCACAGCCUUGCGAGACAAACUGCAGGAUUCUGUACAGUCCUAUGUAUAAAAGUGUCAUGAAAUUGCCCUGUCUUGAAAUUUCUUCUGAUUACAAUCCCUGAAUUUGCUAAAAAUUCAAAUGAAAUUAAUGUCCAUUAAAAUGCAUAUUUUCAGAUUUAUUGAAGUAAACCUUCAUAACUACGUAGCAAGUUAUCUCUCAAAUCACAGUCAUAUCCAUCUAUAUCACUGUUAUUACAUCAGCUUGUUGUGAUGACAUAGUAUUGCCAUUAGAGGCACAUUCAAGCUGCCUUUGAUAUACUACCAUAGUAGCUUGUUUCCAUUAGCUGCUACGCAGUAUGUCAGCUGUCUUCAUGAGUAAGACACACACACACACAAAGAUCAGUGUUCCUACCUUUUUUACAUGAUUUGUAAGAUCUGUAGCUAUGCAUGGAUUAAACUUAAAAUGAAUUCUCUAUUUCAAGAGUGUUGUCCAGCACGGAGAGCAAAUUCUACACAACAGACAAGCAGUUGUAUUAAGAGACUCAAAAAUUUAAAGUUUGAAAAAAUUCUCCAGAAAAAAACGUGUGAUUUCACUGAUUAGUAAGUCAUCUUGCUUGUUGUCAGUAUCUUGUAAAUAUUAUAUUUUCACUAGUCAUUUUAGAUUUCCUAAUACUUUGAGUUUGGAAUGUUCAGUAAUAUUUUUUCUUCCAUUCAAUUUUUAAUACCAGGAUAUGAAAAUGAAUACAAGAUAAAAACACACCUUUCAAUGAAACUAUUAACAGCACUCUUAACUUCACUAAUAACUGCAGUUACCAUAAUGUAGACAUUUACAUUUGGUGACUUUCUUCUGUCUAAUAAUGAAAAUUAUGAUUUUAUAUCACUGAUCAGGCAAAGCUGAGUAGAUAUUUUUUAUCUGAAUAAUUGCUUUUAACUCAUUACUCUUGAAUAGUAAGCUUGUCCAGUAAACAUUUAGACACACACUCACCUUUCAUAAAUGCUAUAUUUUAUGGACAUAAUCUCAUUCAUUUUCAUACAUCUGUACUUUUAAAACUAGACUAGAAAGUUAGACCCAUCACUUGUUUUAUUUUAAUGUGUAAAUAUAUCAUUUUUAGGAAAAAAGUGAAAAUCAAAUGGAAUCUCAAAAAGGAGAUUUUACUUCAAGUCUACAAGCCCUGGUAUUAAAGCGUCACUCCUUCUUCUGUAUGAUGAAUUCUUACACCAAGCAAGUGAAAUAGAAAUUCCUGGUAUUGACUGCAUGUAAUAUUUCAUUUUUUAAAUACCUAUGUUUGAAUUUUCAGUACAAUGUGAGAUCAACCACAGCAAGUUGUAACAGCAAAGUGAAGAUGCUCUUAUAAACUAGAAGAUAGGAAGGAGAAAAAUGGUAACUAGCUUUUACUUCAGAAACCAGGAACAAGGACUCCUUGUCCAUAAGGAGAAGCAAAUGGCAAGAACAAUGUAACAACAAUGUUACAUGUUCAUGAACAAUGUAACAACAAUGUAAUGUCUGACAUUUAAAGAAAUGUCUAAUUCUUGGUCGUUCUCCAGUCACUUAGGGUUUUAUAAAACACAGGAUUUGUUUAGUUUUCUAAAGAAACAUCAGAGAUCAUAGAAGAAUGAACUGUGAAUAAUCAAUGAGAACAAAAUACAUAAGAGUUUCAAGUUCUACAAGCAGAUUUGCAAAGCUUAUACUUCGGUCUGUACACUAACCAAGUCAUGAUCAAUGUAAUUGUGUUUAUGUAAACUGGAAACUGAACUUUAAAAACAAUUUUGGAUCAAG